rnacentral:lncRNA from 1 species
UAAAAUUUCUCUCCAUAUUGCUCAAAUGGUGUAUGAAUAUGUAUAUGUAGAGGUGUGGCGAGCGGUAUAGGACAAUGUAUGUUCUCUUUCUUUCAAUUCCAAACAACUUAAAAUCUCGUCUAAAUAGUGUCAAAUAUUUUAUACAAGCUCUCCUCAAUAUUUCAAGACAUACAAUAAUUAUCCCCGUAUAUUUUUCAUUUUGUUAGUUCUUUUUUCUCUCGUUCUUUUAAUCUUUUCCCCAUUCCAUUAUGUUUUCAUAUCCAGACCUCUCCCGAGAAGCCCCACCUAAUUCCUUCUUCGGAUCCCUCAAUUUCCACUCUUCACUAUUUUCUCCAAUCCAGAUUCAAAAAAAUAAUUUUUCCCGGCUGUAAUGGCACCUUGUUUCUAAACAACUUAUUAACUAAAAUUUACUGCAGUAACUAAAUUAAUUUUCAACACAUCUAAUUACUCAUUUUAACGGGUGCGGGGUUGAUCAAGUUGGAGGAAAAAACAAUUGAAGAAUUUGCUCACUGGAUCUGAUCAAACUUUCUCAUUGUUUCUGAGCGGAACCAAUCAUGAAUUCCUUUUCUUUCGGCAUGCGUCUUAGGUUAGUAACCCAACCCCAAUUAAAACUCAUGUUUCUUGUGCUUGUUAUUGGAUCAAAUUUGCAAAAUAUUAUCUGGGUCAUUGAUUUUUUUUUGCUGAAAUUUUCUGAUUUUCAGUCUGAAGUUUUAGAUACGAGCUCCUCUCGAUUUGGAUUCAUUAUAUAUAAUUCACUCAAAAUAAUUUUCGUUUUUCAAAUCAUUUUCGUUUGCGGUAUUUCAAAUUUUCAAAUCGAGCUUUGAAGCUUUAGUGGUUGAUCAAUCAUAGAAAGAAGGAAGUAAAAGAAGAAAGAAGAAGGUAGAAGAAGCCAUUAAUGGCUGAAUCCCAGAAGGAAGAAGAACAAGCAGUAUGAUGAAUGGCCAGUUUGGAUAAUCUUAGUAAAGUUAGGCUAAUUUCUUUGCAGACAAAAUGACCGACGGGCGUAUCGCAUAAUUAUUCCAUAAUAUUAUCGUUAGGGAAUUUCGUCUUUGAAAGGUAAUUAUAAUCAAAGAACAGUUAAACUAUGAAAUUUCUAUUUUGUGAACCAAAAAAUUAAUAUUUCUUUAUACUAUAAUAUAUCAAAAUUGAUUGUACAAUUUAACAUUUACGUUACAGAAUAUUUAAUUUAAUAAAAGGGUGCUAAUCAAUAUAUAUAUAUAUAUACUAGUUCCACCCAGGCGCGUGCCAAGACGGGUAUUAUAUUUUUAUCUUUUAAUUAAUCUUAUUUAAUGAAAUAUUAAACAUGCUUUUUUGAUAAGUAUUCAUAAUUAUUUAAGUUAAUAAUUAUCUAAUUGAAUAAUUUAAAUUAAAAUAUUAUUUUUGAGAAAUAAAUAUAUUGUCAGAGAAUUAGAUAUAUAAAUAAUUCUUGAAGAUAAAUAAUUUUUGAAGAUAAGUAUAUAAAUAAUUUUGAUUCGCCAAAAAUAAUAAAUCAAAAAAUAUGAUACUUUUAUGAAUUUGUUAGUAUAGAUAAAAUAAAUUUAUUUUGAUGAAAAAUCUUUUUUUCUUCUUAUAGAAUUAUUUACUACAACAAAUAUUUUUAUCACUUCAAGUUUAUAUUAAAAUAAUUAGAACAUUAAUUUAGAGUCUUAACACAAAUGACGAAUAAGGACAUUAAAUAGUAAUUAAAUUACAUAAUACAUUACUCAUUUACUUGUCAUAUUUAUUUUCUUACACGCCCUUUAAAGAAUAAACUUUUCUUCCCAUUAUAAUUAUUAAUUUACUUUUUUGAUGUCCACUAAGAAAAAUAGUAGUAAAUAUAAGAUAAUGCCUAUUAAGUUGUCCUAUUUAGUACUUAUAUUUUUUAAAAAAAAUUAAAUAAGAUUUGUAAAAGAUUUCAACCGUGUAGUAAAAAAUUAUUGCAAACGUUAAUUUCAUGUUAAAAGGUAUUUUGACGUAAUUUUUUUUCAAGUUAAAGUGAUUGUUUUUAAUAAAUAAAAGAAGUUAUAAUUAAAAGGCAAUCCAAUAAAUUACAAGAGGAAACCAAUUAUAAAAGGCCAAGUGAAGAUGGCCUUAACAAAAAAAGGAGAGGGCAAAAAUAAAAAUAUACAAGAAAAGGAAAUCAUCAAUGCACUACAAAUUUGACAUGUACAAUAACUUUGCUUAAAAAAAAGUGAAAUGUCUAAAAAGUCCUUGUGAGGACUACCAAACUUGUGAUUCU